rnacentral:tRNA from 1 species
CCAUGGUCAGGGAGGGCUUCUCGAUCCUGCUCGGCGUCCAGCCGGGGAUCGAGGUGGCCGGCACGGCCGUCGACGGCGCCGACGCCGUGGCCAAGGCC